GGCUCUCAGGACUCGAGCCAACUGAUCCUAGCUUGCUUCCCUGACUUUAGCAGCUGAUAGUUGAGUAACACGUGGGCAACUGCCUGUAUGCUGGGAUCCUUCAGGGAACGGAAUCGAAGUUGUUAUAGUAUCUUCUGCUUCUUGGGAGGUGAUUGAAAGAUGGUUUCGGCUAUCACUUACAGAUGGGCCCGCUGUGUAUCAGCUAGUUGGUGAGGUAACUGCUCACCAAGGCAACGAUGCAUUAUCGACCUGACAGGGUGAUCGGGCACACUGGGACUGAGACACGGCCCAGACUCCUACGGGAGGCAGCCCUAGGGAAUCUUCCGCAAUGGACGAAUGUCUGACCGAGCAACUCCUCGUGACUGAUGAACGCUUUCUGGUCGUAAAACUCUGUUGUUAGGGAAGAACAAGUACUAGAUUAACUGCUCGUACCUUGACAGCCCCUAACCAAAAAGCCACGGCUAACUACCUGCCACCAGCCGCGGUUAUGCGUGGUAGAGAACUUGUUCCGGAAUUAUUGGGCUUAAACCACGCGCGCAGGCGGUUUCUUAAGUCUGAUGUGAAAGCCCACGGCUCAACCGUGGAGGGUCAUUGGAAACUGGGGAACUUGAGUGCAGAAGAGAAAAGCGGAAUUCCACGUGUAGCGGUGAAAUGCGUAGAGAUGUGGAGGAACACCAGUGGCGAAGGCGGCUUUUUGGUCUGUAACUGACGCUGAGGCGCGAAAGCGUGGGGAGCAAACAGGAUUAGAAACCGUGGUAGUCACACACGGUAAACGAUGAAGGUUCAAGUGUUAGAGGGUUUCCACCCUUUAAAAUUACAGCAAACGCAUUAAACAAUCCGCAUGGGGAGUACGGUCGAAAGACUGAAACUCAAAGGAAUUGACGGGGGCCCGCACAAGCGGUGGAGCAUGGGGUUUGAUUCGAAGCAACGGGAAGAACCUUACCAAGUCUUGCCAUCCUCUGACAACUCUAGAGAUAGAGCGUUCCCCUUCGGGGGACAGAGGGACAAGUGGUGCAUGGUUGUCGUCAGCUCGUGUCUUGAGAUGUUGGGUUAAGUCACGCAACGAGCGCAACCCUUGAUCUUAGUUUCCAGCAUUUAGUUGGGCACUCUAAGGUGACAGCCGGUGACAAACCGGAGGAAGGUGGGGAUGACGUCAAAUCAUCAUGCCCCUUAUGACCUGGGCUACACACGUGCUACAAUGGAUGGUACAAAGGGCUGCAAGACCGCGAGGUCAAGCCAAUCCCAUAAAACCAUUCUCAGUUCAGAUUGUAGGCUGCAACUCGCUUACAUGAAGCUGGAAUCGCUAGUAAUCGCGGAUCAGCAUCCCGCGGUGAAUACGUUCCCCCGCCUUGACACACCGCCCGCCACCACACGAGAGUUUUAACACCCGAAGUCGGGGAGAGCCGUAAGGAGCUAGCCGCCUA
rnacentral:rRNA from 1 species